AUUGAACGCUGGCGGCAUGCUUUACACAUGCAAGUCGAACGGUAACAGGCCGCAAGGUGCUGACGAGUGGCGAACGGGUGAGUAAUGCAUCGGAACGUGCCCAGUCGUGGGGGAUAACGCAGCGAAAGCUGUGCUAAUACCGCAUACGAUCUAUGGAUGAAAGCGGGGGACCGUAAGGCCUCGCGCGAUUGGAGCGGCCGAUGUCAGAUUAGGUAGUUGGUGGGGUAAAGGCCUACCAAGCCGACGAUCUGUAGCUGGUCUGAGAGGACGACCAGCCACACUGGGACUGAGGCACGGCCCAGACUCCUGCGGGAGGCAGCAGUGGGGAAUUUUGGACAAUGGGCACAAGCCUGAUCCAGCAAUGCCGCGUGCAGGAAGAAGGCCUUCGGGUUGUAAACUGCUUUUGUACGGAACGAAACGGUCUGGGUUAAUACCCUGGGCUAAUGACGGUACCGUAAGAAUAAGCACCGGCUAACUACGUGCCAGCAGCCGCCGUAAUAC
rnacentral:rRNA from 1 species